GCCAGGCGUGGUGGCGCAUGCCUGUAAUCCCAGCUACUGGGGAGGCUGAGGCAGGAGAAUUGCUUGAACCCAGGAGGCAGAGGCUACAGUGAGCCAAGACUGUGCCACUGCACUCCAGCCUGGGCGACAGAGCAACACUCUGCCUCGA
rnacentral:SRP_RNA from 1 species